CACAAAUGUAGAACUGUGUACGAAAAGUUUUAAAUUUUGAGUUUAUCAUGACUGUGAAUGUACGAAUCGUCUUUUUCGUGUGUGAAUUGCUUUGAAUUCGUGUGUGUGUUUUUUGAGACUUUGGUGGCAGCGCGCUUCUCCAACGUGGGUCACUCGUACGCUUUAGCCAAUCAGAUGCAAGCUUACCAUUCAACCAAUCAUAACCCGCCAAGAGCGCAGCACUCAAGGAGCUCAGCAUUGCACACCUUUUGCGCAAUCAACUGAAAUGAAGCUUCACGUCAUCAACCAAGCAUGGCGAAUGAAGUGCGGGAUAUACGUGACUCUCGUCGUGUAAUACUAUCACAGAGCAGUUGUUCUUGUGUUGCUGGGACAGCACAUUGUUGCACUACUCAGAGCUUGGCAUCAGUGAAGUUCACAGCUGUACUGAAACGGUUGAGAGCUGACACAGACCUAGAACAAUGAGGUUCUGUCUGCAAGACCCAAAGAAAGGAAGCUUGCUGAUGUAUUAAGGAGUACCUUUUAAAAGAGUGUCACCUGUAAGCUGCCUGACCUCACAGUCCUCCAAGUAGCAGAGGCGUUUAAGGACCUUGCCAGUGCUGUAGCCCCUUCGGUCACCACUAUCAGGAUGUCACAUGUCAAUUCUUUGGUGGAUUUUGGCUUUGGCAGAGUUUAGUAUGGAAGUGUGCUGUCAUACCAGCAGCAACAACACACAACCUUAAUUGUUAUCAAGAUGCCCCAUAACUACAACCUCUGCAACUAUUUGGCUACAGCCUUGACACAUCUGUUUGCUUGAUAGUUAUUUAUAUUUACAUGUUUACAUUUCUGAAGUUAAGGUAGUUAUUUACAGUAUAUUACAUACAUACUUUACUGCAAUGUAAAUGUUCGAAGUAAUUUAGUUUUACAUUCAUGCAGUGCAGGCAACACUGUAUGAAAGUUAUUUACAGUAUAUUUAAAUACAUUACUGCAUUGUAAAUGUUCAAAGCCACAUGUUUACAUUCCUGCAGUGCAUGCAACACUGAAUAAAAGUUACUUACAGUAUAUUUACAUUCAUUACUGCAUUGCAAAUGUUCAAGUCAUUUAUAUUUACAUGUUUAUAUUCCUGCAGUGCAUGCAACACUGAAUAAAAGUUAUUUACAGUAUAUUUAAAUACAUUACUGCAUUGCAAAUGUGUAAAGUCAUUUAUAUUUACAUGUUUACAUUCAUACAGUGCAGGCAACCCUGUAUUAAAGUUAUUUACAGUAUAUUUAAAUACAUUACUGCAUUGC